UUUGCAGAUACCUCUAACCGGACCACACUCUGUCAUUGGUAGGGCAGUUGUUGUCCAUGGCGACCCAGAUGACCUGGGCAAGGGUAAUCUUAAUUGUUCUCUCACUCCUCUCUCUCUUAAGUGGUUCCAUCUUAUAGUACUUAUUAGCUAGUCAGUGUGAUGGGCGCGCCUUAUCAUCUUUCAGUGGGUCACCCCACUCCACGUCUAUCUGUGACUCUGCCGUGAGCACUCUUGUACUUACGGGUAGUUUUAGCCUGCUUCUGAUUCCAAUUGGUAUACAAUAGCUUCUACAUAGGUGCAAAUCAUUUGGUGAUCGGUGUUUUGGUUUUCAUCAUUGCUCUAUCUUGUGCUCCUCAUCCUUUCAAAUGAGCUACAGACUAGCGGGUGACUGUCAGUUUGUUGUUCCUCAGAGUUAUUUUCUAUUUCCUUAUAAAUUUUAGUUACCAUUUAGGUUUUAAGCAUGAACAAACUUACGGCUAUAUUAUUUCUCUACUCACUGUGAAUUUGCUUGGAAUCCGAUAUCCGAUGUAAUCCAAUACUUGUGUUUUUCUGUACAGGUGGACAUGAGCUUAGCAAAUCCACUGGAAAUGCUGGUGGCAGGGUAGCUUGUGGUAAGCUAAUUUGCUUAAUCUCAUCAAACCCAAUGUUUUUGCUAUAGAAUUAAAUGUCAUAUAAUUUUGGACCAUUCUUGUUGGAUGAACAUAGCAAGGCGCUUUCAACAUCGAUAGAAAACGGAAUGUCUUCCCUAAAAUUACAAUAGAUGACCAUUCCAGAUGAGGAUGGAAACUUAAACCAAUUUGUGGUUUAUAUACACGGCCCCUGUUUUGAUGUUUGUCUAUAGACAUCUACCUAGGUUGCGUAGUUUUUAUAUUGUUAUUGUGGAGAUAUCUGUGUUGCGUAGUUAUAUUCAUUCGUGUCCGUCAACAUGCUUCUACUUAUGUUCCGGUGUGUCUACUUUUGUACAGGUAUUAUCGGUCUGCAAGGAUGAACUUGAGCACCAAGCGAAAGACAUGGAGUUUCAGUUAAAUGUAUGAAGUUUCUAUAAGCCUGAGAGAAAUUUAGAACUCUUUUGAAUAAGAAAAAACAUGUCUUGUUUAGCUGACAAUGUUUUGUGUUUAAAAUUCUGUCCAAACUUCAUUGACUGGAAAUCUUGGAUGCAUAAAGUGCUUAUGAGUUUGAUCAUGUGUGUUUCUUUCGUUCUCAUUCGUUGAUCGUUAUUUCAAGGCCUGAAACUACUUCUGGAAGUGAUAAAAAACGCUUGUUCUAAAAGCAUUCCAAUAGCAUUGUACGGCUUACAAAAGCAAAUUUCAAAUGGAUCAAGGCCUGAAAUUGCUCAUGGAACAGCUAAAAACGUUUUAUGACAAUCAAAAGCAAUUGCGAGGCAUAAGAAAACUUGUAAGUACGUUUUAUGAGCAUAAGUGUCUUUCAUAAGCAAAUCGCAAAUGGAUUGGGGCAUGAAACUGCUUCUGAAAGAGCUAAAACACUUUUUUUUACAACAAAAAAGAUUGCGAGUUAUAAAAGCGUUUACAAACAAAAGUGCGUCCUACGUAAGCAAAUCACAAACCACAAACGGACGGGUCAAAUUUGAGUCCCAAUUUGAGUUUAUACAGAUUCGGCCCAAACAAUUGGUUUUGGGCCAAAAUUUGCUUAAGAGCAAAAACACAAACUCACUUUUGAAACGCACUUACCUAACUGGUUUCGAUUGACGCCGCUCCUCCUCCACCUCCGCCCCCAAAUCCAAAAAUCCACAAUUUCUAGGGUUCCAUAAUUAGUUUAGCAAAUUACAAUCGAAUCCGCUCUCCGGUUUCUACUAUAUAAUCUCGCCAAGCGAUGUCGAGCACCGUCGACAAAAUCUCCGGCGACCUUGACAUGACGCCGGAGCUACGCAAAUCCUUCAACCUCCUCAAGACCCACGCCUCCAAAGUUGCCAACUUUACCCUCCAAUGGCAGGACCUCGAGGAGCACUUCCGCUGCAUCGACAAUUCCAUCCAAUCCAAGCUCGACCAACUCCAAAAACAACAAUCGGAAGAGGCCCAUCUCACUCCGGCUCCGCAAUCGCAACCCAAAGAACCCGAAUUGAAUUUUAAACCCAAUUCCGAAGAACCCCAAUUGGGUUCCGGUGACGCCCAAUUGAGUUCGAAAGAAUCCCAAGUCACCGCCACCCUCCAAUCCUUGAAAACCCAAUUCGAUUCCGUUGAAACCCAAGUCAAAACCGACGAGCCUUCGCCGGAAAUGUCGACCUGCAAUGGCGUCCCGAUAAAUGACGGCAAGGCGUUGCUGUUGUAUGCGAAUGAGCAUUUGAAAGAGAAGGGUUCGGUGCGUGAUGGUAUUGUGAAUGCGCUUAAGGCUUCUGUGGAUGCUGGGAAGCUAGUGCUCGAGGCAGUGAAAUGGUUUUAUCCGUCAGAAUCGAAUAAGGGAGGUAAGGAGCUUGACUUCAGUGUUACCAGGAAAAGUUGUGCGAUUUUGUUACAAGGGCUGGUGAAUGUGAAACCAGUGAUUAAACCCGAGAUCAUCAGAGAGGCAAUGAAGCUUGCAUUGGCUUGGAAGGCAAAGGUGAUAACUCAAAUGUCGAACUCUUUGGAGGUUUGGGUUUUUUUUCAGCUUCUGGAUGCUUUUGGGUUGGGUGGUGAGUUUGACAGUGAUGAGAUUUUGAAGCUUUUUAGUUGCGUAGCAGAUCGGUAUUCUGCACCGGAGUUGUUUAGGUCCCUUGGUUUCGCCGAUAAAGCCUCUGGUGAGUUUUUGGAGAGCCUUCCUUAUUGUUGUUCCUAUCUUUUUAUGAGACAUUUAAUUUAUUGAUUGCUUUCAGUGUUGAGUACUUGUAGUUUUACUCCUAUGAAUUCAAUGAUGGGUUCGGUAUUGUGGAGAUUGUGUGAUAUUUUUCUAAACAAAAGCAUACAUAGUUUCAGGGAAAUCUACUUAGUUUGAGUGCACCCUUACGGACAAAGUUAGGUAAGUAUCUGUUGAUAGUUGAUACAAUGAAUGUCACCUUGUGAGGUUGCCUUUACGGUUUUAGAAGAAAUCAUGGGAAGAAGGUUAUGCUCUUGUUAUUUUAGAUGUCUUCUAUUAAGGUCUGCUAGAAAUUCUCCUGAUAUAUAUGUCUUGAAAUAGAAAAUGUUUAGUUUUUGGUUUUUGCUACCUCCUUUUUUUGUAGUCGGUUAACUCUUAAUUAUUAUUUUUUUUUUUUUUGUGACGCAGAUUUCAUCCAAAAGCUUAUAUCAGAGAAUAAGCGGGUUGAUGCUGUUAGAUUCAGUCGUGCAUUUGGACAGUUUGACAAGUUCCCCCCUGUACCCUUGCUUAAAGCACAUUUAAAGUUCAUCACGGAAGAUGCAAGGACAAGUUCCAAGAGUGGGCAAGACCAUCUUAAAGCACAGGUAUAGGUGGUGUUUCUUUUGCCUCAUCAACCGUCCUUAGACUCAGAACGAACUUUUAUAUAGUGUUGAUCAUUAAAUCCCCUGCAGGAUGAGUCCUUAGACAAAGAAAUAGCUGCUCUAAUAGGCAUAAAACGUUGCGUUGAGGACUACAAGCUUGUUGUUGAACCAGAAUAUUAUCCCAAGACCCUCGGAAAACACAUUAGGCAGCUGAAAAGGGUGAGAAAACAUAGGAAAGCAACUCUAAGGGAGAGUAAACAUAGGAAAGCAACUCUAAGAGCCCCUGGCCCUAAGGCUCAGCCGCAACCCCUGAGUGGAAAGAAACGUACUGCCCCAGGUCAGCCAAAUGAGCAGAACAGAAAUAAGCAUCCUCGAACAGCUCCAGCUUUAGCUGCUCAAACUGUUUCUCUCAGAGGACCAGCCACAGUAGGCGCUAUACAACCAUCUUAUAUUCGCCAAGUAAGCUUGUAUGACAGUCGAAGUGCAGAAUACUUGUUAUCGUCAGCUGGAAUGCCCAGACAAGCAACCACUCCGCCCAGUACUUCUUAUGGCGCCAUUUCCACCUUGAACCCACUGCGAGCAUCUCAUCAUCAGCAAGGAGGCUCAUUCAUCGGUCAAGGUGCAGAAUACCCUUCUCGAUACUAUGAUUCAGCACACUACGCUCCUGAUACUAUUAAUAACUUAUCUGCUCGAUCGUAUGAUUUGGUGGGUUCCUCUCCUGGUACCCGUGGCCAGCUCGUGAACUUAACAGCUCGAGACUAUGGAUUGACGGGUCCGUCUCAUGUACAUACUAACUCAGAACCUGGGGGCAGUGGUCCAGAUCUGAGUCCAUUAGUCGCACGAUACAGAACAAGUAUACCUGCAAAUGGAAGGACUGGACAGUUAGGAUCAGCAGGAAGCCCUACACCGAUGCGCAUUGCAAGCCCGAACAGUUCCAUCCCCUAUGCCUAUAGGGAUCCGCUUAGGGCGCCUAACUACAAUGACCGGGCGGUGCCUUCCAGCAGUGGCUAUGGCGCACCGUCUCAGCACCCCCCAGCCAUUUACCACCUUUAGUCCAAUCCUAUAGUUCUUGGUAACUUACAUUCACAACCAAUGAUUCCGUUUAGACUACUGUGUUUCGAAUUCAGACCCUUCUUUCUCUGUAAUUUAGAGUAAAGCAAAACCGCAGAAAAACCUUCAUUUAUAUGCAUCAAUUUCUUUAUUUUAACAAAGGGUGGUACAAGUAAAGCAGCCAAAUUGACAUGCCCUUAACAAUUUUGACAUCACUAAAUAUUAGUUUCUACGCCCUCUAUCUUGAAAAAGGCUAUCAAUUCCCGCGGCCCUCCAUCCUUAUCGAGUACUUCUGUUUUGUACUUUCCAGUGGGAUUGGGCAAAGACUCGUCCUUGGCCGCAACAACAAGCAAAUAUAAUGUGCCUGAUUCAUAAAACGAUGUCCGAGCCGAAAUCACUGUUUCAAAUACUAACUUGUUUGUGGCAUUCUUGUUGUUCUCGGAAACGGCUCACUCUCCGAUCUCCGUCGCGUUUAAAUUGAUGCCGUCUAUAGGCUUCCAGGUACUGGGAACGUUGUUUGUUGUAGUAGCGGUUGCCAGAGAAACCAGCAGAGCAAGGAGAGCGAGAAAGAAGCAAUGGGGACGCAUUUUGUAACCCAUGAGUUCGGUUCAAGAAGCAAUGAGUCUUGGGAAAAUUGUUAUUGAUGCAAGGAUAAUCAUACAACAUAUGGUCAAAUACUUGUGGGUAUAUAUAUUAGACAAGCAUGGAUAUGGUGCACUGAAUCGGGACAGACAGGCUAGCUAGUAUAGAAAGCAAUAAUAACGACGAGAAAUUUUUCAAAAUAAUUGGUAUUCAAGCUGAUGCUUCACGUGUUAUAAUAUAUGUGAAGAGAUAAAGAAUUAAUACACUGUAUUUUAACAUUUCCAAAUAACUUCAAUUGUCUUUUAAGUCACUUUCCGUACCUAAUAUGUGUCCAAAUAGAAAUUAUGUGAAAAAAUGGCUAGAUUCAAUGCAAACCAUUAUACGAGGCUCUAAUUAUUCAGGCAAUUAAUCACAUAUAUGAACUUUGUAUAUUUGACAUCUCACAUUCAAUUUACAUGCAAGAGAUUUUGCAGUAUGCUCAGAACAUAGGCACAUAUAUACGUCGUAUGUCAUUACAGAAGUGGAGAGAAACUUGAAAGAAACACUUCUUUUCACUUGUAUAAUAAUAUAUGACGUACCGCUUCGUGUUCUGGACACAUUAAAAUAUUACUUUUUACAUACGUGGCCCUUAUCUGUGAUAUUAUUUUAUUUGGAAAGGUACAAAUUUCAAUAAAAACCAAAACCCAUCCUUCCAAUUUGUAAGAUAAACGGAAUUAGGCAGCAUUCAAUUUAUAGCUUUGCUAUAUCAAACCAUCAGCAGUUCAGCAAUAGUAAGACUGUCCUUCAUCUGUAUAUUUGGAUUUGCUUUACUGAGAACCGAAAACCUACUACGAUACGUCCUCAUUGCUUCCUCGCACUCCUUACUCUGCUUACUCUUGCGGCUGCCGCCGCGACGAGGGAAGUGAGUCCCCCGUGGAAGGAUAUUAAGGACCUCAAGGAUCCAUAUGUGAUAAGCAUUGCAGAGUGGGGGGUCUCAGAAUACAACAAGAAUGUCACAGGCACAAACAAGUUAGUGUUUCAAAAUGUGACUUGGGGGGGAAGCGCGUUUAUUUCAAACACGUUUUAUGGGCCGAUCAUAUGCGGCAAAAAAUUAGUCGUUAACUAUCCCACCAGAAGAGUAUAGACUUGGUGUAUGGGACAGAUUUCUAACCAGGCUAUUCCGGGGCUUAAGAAAAAAUGAUGGCUCUGAUGUUUAGUAUUUCAAAUUUACGGUUUAGUAUUAGGGUUUGUAAGUGUUAAAAGUAUGGACAAUGCUAGGGAGAGUAAAUUUGUAGAGAAAAUUUUGUAAAAUAAAUGACAUAGAAGUCGAUAAUUGAAUUAUGACUUAAGCGUUGAUGAACAUAUUCAUUCCUAUUGGUGACAUACUAUUUAGUUUGUAAAUUUUGUCUACAAAUUUAGUCUCCCUAGCAUUACCAUAAAAGUAUAUACACUUAUGAUUGCAAAUUUUGCCUACAAAAUUAAUCUCCUAGCACGGUGCUUGCGAAAAACAAAAAUAAGAAGUUUCCCAGAAAGUGCAAGGCAAUGCCGGAAUCAAGGUGGGUGAGAUCAAAGCUAUGAAAUAGCAUUGAAAAGGACCACAGACGUCUCAUCGUUAACAACACCCUCCCCGAACACUAGACUGUAGAGUAAAGAAUAUUGUCUUUUGAUGACUUAUCAUUCAACCUUAUCACUGCUGCAAUGGCAGCAUGGUUUAUAUACAGUUUACAUACACGCAUGCAAUAAACAACAAUAAAGGUGACAGAAACUAAAGAAAAAUAAAGAUGGCAGAAACCAUGUGAUUGUCUGGCUGGGAGUAUUCCUUCUGUCGUCCAGGUUGUACAGCUAGUUAGUGGGAGUAUUCCUUCUGUUGUCCAGGUUGUACAGCAGCUAGUGGGAUUAUUAGUGGACAGCUAGUGGGAUUAUUAGCUUCAUCAUUAUUAGCUUCAUCAUCCCCCCGCAAGCUCAUGAGCGGACGACGAACGAGCUUGGAUUUUAAGAAAUGAAAACGAUCAGCAGAUAAGCCCUUGGUGAAUAUGUCUGCAAUCUGAAAAGUAGUAGACACAUGAUAGACAUUUAAUGACUUUGCCACUACAAGCUCACGCACAAAAUGAUAAUCCACAGCAACAUGUUUUGUUCGAGCAUGGAACACGGGAUUAGAUGCCAAUGCAAUGGAGCUUGUGUUAUCACACCAAAUUAAAGCAGUCGAGGGCAUGUUAACCGGUGCUCAAUACCAUUAUUAAUUAAAAAUUGUUGAAAUUCCUUACUCAUAAAUUCACCCCCGCCAUCAGUUUGGAAAGAUUUUAUCUUAUAAACAGUAUGGAUAGAUAGAAGAUUUUCAAGAAGCAAUUUAAAUUUUUGAAAAUAAGAAAAAGCUUCAUGUUUAAAUCUCAUAGGAAAUAUCCAAGUAUAACGAGAGUAAUCAUCAAGAAAUAUUAUAAAAUACUUGGAACCCUUAACAGAGGCAAUUGGUGAAGUCCAAACAUCACAAUGAAUCAAUUGAAGAGGACAAACUGAAACUGAUGGAGACAAAGCAAAAGGUAAUUUAGUGCUUUUGCCCAAUGGGCAAGCAGAGCAAAAACUAGGGAACUAGAAUCCUUAAUAGGAAUAGAGGACAUAAUUUUUUUAAAAAUUGCAGGAGAUGGAUGACUGAAACGCUGAUGCCACAUAAAUGAAGAGGUUCGUUGUCCAAAUAAUGCCACGUUCUUGAAAGGAAACUUUUCCACACGAAACGGAUACAAUCCAUUCUCACUCUUGCCGUGGAAAAGCGUCUUCCCCGUGGAUAGAUCCUUCACAAAAAAAUCAGUAGGAGUGAAAAUGAAGUAGCAAUGAUUAUCACAACAAAAGCGAUGAACGCUCAAUAGAUUAGCAGAAGCAGAAGGACAAUGCAAAACAGAAUUUAAAGGAAAUUGAGACACAAAACCAGAACCAAUAUGCUUUAUAGACAAACCUGCACCAUUACCAACCGCGACCUGGUCUUGGCCAGUAUAUUCUGUGGAAAGGCUCAAAUUAGCUAAAUCAUUGGUGAUAUGGGACGAUGCGCCACUGUCGGUAUACCAUGUAGGGAACCGUGCAUUAACCACAGGAGAGGCAGCCAUCAUAGCAUGUGAUUGUGGAUAGCGGCCUUCGGAAAAAGGAGACUUGAAACAAUUUGCGGUAGAAUGACGAUGAUCACCACAAUAGUUACAAAUAUUAGAGGAAGAAGGAGCAUCCGCAGCAUGGUUGGGAAGAUAGGAAGAGCGACGAAGACCAGCAUUUGGUGUAGGAAGAAGUCCUCGAUUCUGAAACGAGCCACGACCGGAUCCACCAUGAAACAAACCACUGUUUGAACCACCACGACGGCCAACAAAAGGAUUACCAGCACUGCGACCUUGAAAAAAGCCACGACCUUGAAAACCACCACGACGGAAUGAGGAUGUACGACCAUUUCCUCGGUGAAGUGUGGUUCCACGACCAGGAUUGGGAGUGGAGCCAGAAGGGGCAAAGAGAGCUGUUGUGGUGUGAUCAGGACUGAAAGUAGUGCUAUAGUCGUCCAUACGGCUUUCAGCGCUCAAGAGCAAAGCAACCAUAUCGUCAAGACUCAUAGGAUUUUCUCUUGCUUGAACCGAAGUAACUAUACUUUCGAAAGCAGGACCAACACCAUUCAAAAUCAGCUCCAUAAGAUCAUCGUCAUCAACAGGUUUUCCCGCAAGAGCCAAUUGAUCAGCAAAGUUAGUUAAUUUAUCAACAUAGUCUGUGAUGGACAUGUUACCUCUUUUAGUGGACUGCAUCUGGUGCUUAAGUUGAAGAACACGGGUGCGAGAUUGAGAAGCAAAACGUGUUUUCAGAGUAUCCCAAGCAGCUUGGGAUGUGUCACAGGUUGCGACGAUGGAAAGCACAUUGGGUGUCAAAGUUGAGUUAAUCCAACUUAACAAUUGUUGGUCCUGUCGCUGCCAAGUUACGUACUCGGGAUUGAGAGUAGAAGUAUUCUCAAGAAACUUGGUUGGACAUGUUUUUGUACCAUCAACAUAGGCAACAAGAUCAUUACUUUUAAGUAAGGGAUUAAACUGGGCAAGCCACAACAUGUAAUUGGUUCGAUCAAGUUUGAUGGAAACCAGAUAGGAAAUAUUAGGAAGGGAGCUGGUAAGAAGAGAAGAAGAAGCAGCCAUGGAAGCGGAAGAAAAUUUGAGAAGAAGGGAAGGCAGAAAAAAAAAAAAAGGCAAGAAGAAAGAAAAAUAUGAGGAUCGUCAUGCUGGCGACCUUGGAAAUGUCACUGUUGGGGAUGAUGGUAGAUAACCUUUUCUUCUUUUGCUCUUUCUAACUGUUUUGUAAUUGCCUGGAACACUCUUUUAUGUUUUCACGCCUUGAUACUUACGGGCUAAUGACAGCUUAAUGUGUUUCUUAUCUCCUUGCUUCAGGAACUGCAACCUUCACUCUUAUUGACAAGCAGGUUUGUGAUUGACCUCCCCAAUUAUUAUUUGUUUAUGCUAUUAUUAAAACUUACGUAUUCAGAUAGCUCUUGAGUUUCAUUUCAUCUUUUAUAAAGGUUACAUUAUUGUUUGCAGAUACCUCUAACCGGACCACACUCUGUCAUUGGUAGGGCAGUUGUUGUCCAUGGCGACCCAAAUGACCUGGGCAAGGGUAAUCUUUAUUGUUCUCUCACUCCUCUCUCUCUUAAGUGGUUCCAUCUUAUAGUACUGAUUAGCUAGUCAGUGUGAUGGGCGCGCCUUAUCAUCAUUCAGUGGGUCACCCCACUUCACGUCUAUCUGUGACCUGCAGUGAGCACUCUUGUACGUACGGGUAGUUUUAGCCUGCUUCUGAUUCCAAUUGGUAUACAAUAGCUUCUACAUAGGUGCAAAUCAUUUGGGGAUCGGUAUUUUGGUUUUCAUCAUUGCUCUAUCUUGUGCUCCUCAUCCUUUCAAAUGAGCUACAGACUAGCGGGUGACUGUCAGUUUGUUGUUCCUCAGAGUUAUUUUCUAUUUCCUUAUAAAUUUUAGUUACCAUUUAGGUUUAAGCAUGAACAACCUUACGGCUACAUUAUUUCUCUACUCACAGUGAAUGCACUUGGAAUCCGAUAUCCAAUGUAAUCCAAUACUUGUGUUUCUGUACACAGG
rnacentral:lncRNA from 1 species